GAUCUGACGGAGGCCUCAAGAUCGUAAUUGUCAAAAUCCAAGCGACAUUGGAAGGGAACAAGCCCUCCGGCCUUUAGGACCCAGGGUAAAGCACCUGUCAAACGGACGGAACCACAGGAACCCGUCCCCCCACCGCCUCCUUCCUCAAAUGAGGAGGACUAUGGUCCACCAAGUAACCUCAACAUCGUGGAUGAGUGGCGCGAAGAUGGCUCACUCUCAGAAGACGAAAACUAGCAGAACUUACCACAGU